ACGCUCGACACCUACGGGAGCAGCAGUAGGGAAUCUUCCACAAUGGACGCAAGUCUGAUGGAGCAACGCCGCGUGAGUGAAGAAGGUUUUCGGAUCGUAAAGCUCUGUUGUUGGUGAAGAAGGAUAGAGGUAGUAACUGGCCUUUAUUUGACGGUAAUCAACCAGAAAGUCACGGCUAACUACGUGCCAGCAGCCGCGGUAAUCUGAGGCGGGCGUGGACGAAGGC
rnacentral:rRNA from 1 species